CUGUGGCCUGACUGUUUCAUCCGUAGACCGCCGAGUGCGCUUAGCCACACCCCCAACCACCCGAGCUUCCAGUGUGGCGGGCGGAAAGCUCCGGGUUCCCUGUCUCGUCCAGAAGCCGCGGCAAUGUUGCUUCAUGCCUCAACAACUGUAGCUUGUAACUUCCGUCUUUCUGUUCUUUUAAAUUUUAUGUGUUAUGGGCGUUAGUUACCUGCUUGCAUGGCUGUGCACCACGUGUGAGCAGUGCCUGAGGAGGCUGAAAGAAGGUGUUCAAUUUCCUAGAACUGGAGUGAUGUAAUAGCCUCAUGGUGCACAGACUGGUAUCUAGCUCAUCUUGAACACUGCCACCAUCAUGACCACAGGAGCUCUCCCUAUUUCUGCAUUCAUUUUUUCAUUGUUUUGAAUGUUAACGUGUUCAUUAAACAAUUGAAGUCUCAU
rnacentral:lncRNA from 1 species